CAGGCCCUCCUGCGCAUGCGCGGCUCAGGCCCCGGACACGCACGAGGAUCGUGGUCAGGGUGCAACCUGGAUCAAAGGCCAGCCGAGCCCAUGCAAAGGCGGGACCCGACCUUAGAUCCAAGCUCUUGGACGGGUGCGGCGGGUGGCUUCAACUUGGCCCUCUGUCGUGUAGGAGAUGGCAGGCAGGCGGAAGGAUGACUAUCUGGUGACCGUUGUGGCCGCUUUUGCCUCCUGUGCGGAGGAUGUGCGCGCCCUAGUGGGCACUGCCGGGAACCCUCGCGCUCUACCGGUUGGGUACAACCUGCUAGGUGCUGCACUUGUGGUUUGAACUGCCCAGUCAGCUCAAGACUCAGGUUCCCAAGGUGUAGGUUCCAACUAAAAUUAUUUUGUCCCCUAGCCCCAGAUCCUGGUUCUUAGGAACCAAGAAGCUCAAGUGAGGAGGAAGGCACCUGUGAAAUGGACCAUCCGAGUGGAGCAGAAAACCCUGCUGGGAAAGAGCAGAUUCUAGCUCACCCUACCUGUUUCCUAGAGCAGCAGAAAAUGAGCAGGUCUGAGGUCACUUACGUAAUCAUUCAGUGAUGACUGGAAAUCAGUGCAGCAUGCUGCCUAUAAUUGCUACUCAGGGGAAGCAGAGUACUUUGUGCCAAAGGAGAACUCUAAGGACUGAAACACCUUGAUCCUGUAGACCUCUCUCUGAUGGUCUGUUUCUAUCCGGGCAUAGAACCUGGGUUAUUUGCAAUAAAGAAUGGAUUAUAUCA